rnacentral:tRNA from 1 species
AGGCGUAUGGCGGAGUGGUUAAACGCGCAAGACUUAAAAUCUUGUAACAAUUCAAUUUUGGGUUCGACUCCCA